rnacentral:misc_RNA from 1 species
GAUGAAGAACGCAGCGAAAUGCGACAAGUAAUGUGAAUUGCAGAAUUCCGUGAAUCAUCGAAUCUUUGAACGCACAUUGCGCCCGCCAGUAUUCUGGCGGGCAUGCCUGUUCGAGCGUCAUUACAACCCUCAGGCCCCCGGGCCUGGCGUUGGGGAUCGGCGGAGCCCCCCGUGGGCACACGCCGUCCCCCAAAUGCAGUGGCGGUCCCGCCGCAGCUUCCAUCGCGUAGUAGCUAACACCUCGCGACUGGAGAGCGGCGCGGCCACGCCGUAAAACACCCAACUCUUCUGAAGUUGACCUCGAAUCAGGUAGGAAUACCCGCUGAACUUAAGCAUAUCAAUAAGCGGAGGA